rnacentral:rRNA from 1 species
UACGUAGGGGCAAGCGUUGUCCGGAUUUAUUGGGCGUAAAGAGCGUGUAGGCGGCCAUGUAGGUCCGUUGUGAAAACUCGAGGCUCAACCUCGAGACGCCGAUGGAAACCAUGUGGCUAGAGUCCGGAAGAGGAGAGUGGAAUUCCUGGUGUAGCGGUGGAAUGCGCAGAUAUCAGGAGGAACACCGGUGGCGAAGGCGGGUCUCUGGGCCGAUACUGACGCUGAGGAGCGAAAGCGUGGGGAGCGAACAGG